rnacentral:rRNA from 1 species
GAACGAGAAAGUGGAGCAAUCCAUGAGUAAAGUGGCGCACGGGUGAGUAACACGUGACUAACCUACCCUCAAGUGGGGAAUAACUUCGGGAAACCGAGGCUAAUACCGCAUAACACUUACGAGUCAAAGCAGCAAUGCGCUUGAGGAGGGGGUCGCGGCAGAUUAGCUAGUUGGUGAGGUAAUGGCUCACCAAGGCGAUGAUCUGUAUCCGGCCUGAGAGGGCGCACGGACACACUGGAACUGAAACACGGUCCAGACUCCUACGGGAGGCAGCAGUGGGGAAUUUUGCGCAAUGGGGGAAACCCUGACGCAGCAACGCCGCGUGGAGGAUGAAAUCCCUUGGGAUGUAAACUCCUUUCGAUCGGGACGAUUAUGACGGUACCGGAAGAAGAAGCCCCGGCUAACUUCGUG